rnacentral:rRNA from 1 species
CAAUAGCGUAUAUUAACGUUGUUGCAGUUAAAAAGCUCGUAGUUGAAUAUUUGGUGGAGGUGACCUGGCCGUUGGCUUAUGCCUCUGAGCCGUGUGUCGCACUCAGCCAUCCUGGCUCUUUUCGGAGAGCCUCAUUUACUGUUAGCAAAAAAGAGUGUUCCAAGCAGGGCGUUUGUCCGGGAUUUCUUAGAAUGGAAUAAUAAGAUAGGGCCUUUGCGCUAUUUUGUUGGUUUGUACGCCAAGGUAAUGAUUAACAGGAACAGUUGGCGUUGUUCGUAUUUAGAUGUCAGAGGUGAAAUUCUUGGAUUUUCGAAAGACGAACUACUGCGAAAGCAUUCAGCGAGGAUGUUUUCAUUA